UUUAACAACUUUUCUUGUCCCUUUUCCCUUUAGCUGGAGAGAGUUAUAAGGGAAAAAUAAACCCUUGUCUGACAGUCUCUUAGAUGGUAUUAAAGAUCAUAAUUGUCCUUUUGGGGAAAAGAGAAGUUAAUUGAGAUGGACAGGAGCUGCUGCUGCUGCUGUUAGACUGAUCCCAUUUAAUUUCAGAUGGUGUUUGGGGACUCUGCUGGAGCUGGUAGGGAUGGCCAUGUCAUCUGGAUCCCUGCGUCUGGCCUGAUCUGGUCAGGGCAUUCCUUAGGAUAGGGAUGAAGAAGGGAGAUGGUGGGGGUGAUAGCCAUGAUGGUGAAGCUCAUUCCAGUCGCCUCUGCCUGUCCCCACCCUCCCCAAGUCUCUUUCUUUAAGGACCAACAAAGCGAAUGGCAGAUUGAAUAGAUCACCUCAUUAUUUUGUCUCCUGAUUAGGCCUAAUAUCUGCCACAUCAAUUUUGGUUCAUUAAUUUCUGGUUCCACAUCUCCUGUUUUUAGUAAGCAUAAUUUUAAGCAUAAUUAUCAACAUGGCCUUUUUGUUUAAACUAAUUUAGUCUGUCUGGUUCUCCUGUGCCUGUUUAUAACAUUAUUGAAAGCAACUUAACAAAUGUUAAUGGAAAGCAAGUUAUUAUAGGUUAUUGUAACAUCUUAUGAACUUUGAUGUACUUUUUACAGUUGAGCUAACAAUUAAUGAAAAUUCAUCGGCCCAGUAACCAGAACAUAAUCCCUCUUUUUUUAUGGACUAAUUUUGCCUAGGAUUGGAUAUUUGUUUCUAAAAUCAUAUUUAUAAAGAAAAAUCUUAACUGUAUAAAGGAAAAGGGGUGGGGGAGUACUUGGUUAUAUUUUAAGAUUCGCAAAUUCCUUAUCUCAAAGUUGGCGUUUACAAAUCUUACUUGAUUACAUAUUAAACUUUCCAGAUGUUAACAAAGCGAAGAACUUACAACUCACUUUAUUUGUAGCUAAAACAAAACGUAGAGCUGCAGCUGUUAUAUGUCUGUAGGAUGUUUUAGAACAAACCGGCUUUUAUCACUUCUUUGGCUGUUUGCCCAGAAUGGGCAAAGAUGGAAAAAACAUUCCCCCUUUUUUGCUGCUUGUACAUUUAUAAAAACCAUGAAAAUUUUGUGCGUUAGUGGUUAAACUUGCUCACUUGUAGCCCUGAUGGAAUUUUUUUCCUCAAGUGUCUUGUUGUCUCCUUUAAAAAGAAUCACAAAAUGUUCUUUCAGAACCAUAUUUGCAUUUGUGAGUUAUCUGCAACACCCAAAGUUGGGCAAAAACAAAACUUUAAAAAAAAAAAAAAUCAAGUUUGGUGUUGAAAGAGCCCUCUGUUUUGGUGGUUUGAGAUUUUUUUUUUUUACUGUCAAUGUGAUAGCAGCCUUGUAUUAAGUUGCUAUUUUGUUAACAAGGGGGAUUCCCCAAGAUGUUGUUUUAGGAAAAGUUUGCUUUAAUGACUUGACUUUCAACAAUGUAAAACACUAUUUUUACAAUUUUUGCUUUUUCUGAAAAAUACUUUUAAGUAUUAUUUACCACAAAGCACCUAACCUCAGAGGAGUGUGUGUGGUGAAGAUAAAUUCAGUAAUGGUUCAUAAAGAACUAAGAUACCAUAGAACAGCCUAUGAGGAAAUUAAUAACUUUGUAUUCAGUGCAGGUCUUGGAUGGUGUGUAAUACAUAAGGCCUGGGGCCACACGCUGUGAAUGAUGAGGAUAAAAAGAAACGCUGGAUAAUAACCCAUUAAUUGAACACUGUUCGUGCUGGGCAAUGGAAUGAGGCAGGAAUCCUGGGGGGGGCAGGGGAAGAGUGUGAUCCUGUAAUUAUAGACUAUCAUAAUGAUCACACACAUGAGGGGGCCAAGUUUAGGUUCCACAGGCAAUCUUAAUUCUGGCACUGCCUAACUUCUGAGUACUUGACUUUGCAGCUUUAACCUUCUGAUAAUGUAGCUUUUGUGGCUGUUCAGUGCUAUAUUAAAGAACAGUAUCCACAGGUUUCACCUGGAUAUAUGAUGAGCAUAUAUGGCUUUGUUCCAUCAAUUGGUGAACAACUGUAAAGCUUACCCUGGCCCAAUACCCCUGUUCUGGGCUUAUGUUGCCAGGGGCUGGAUGCAUUUUUGGUCCCCUUCUGGAGCAAGGUAAGUAUUCCCCCCGCCCCACCUUGGAUAUUGAGGUUCCAAGGGAAUGUCAGGACAGCCUAAUGUAAACUUUUUAAAUAAACCCAUUUAGCCCAGUUUCUUUAAGGUUUAGUGCAUCUGGUCAAGUCUUACUAAUCUCUCCUCUUACGGCCGCCAUUUCAUGAUUAGGGGUAUGGAACGGCUGCCAUAUGAGGAGAGAUUAUUAAGACUGGGACUUUUCAGCUUGGAAAAGAGACGACUAAGGGGGGAUAUGAUAGAGGUCUAUAAAAUCGUGACUGGUGUGGAGGAAGUAAAUAAGGAAGUGUUAUUUAUGCCUCGUAACACAAGAACUGGGGGUCACUAAAUUAAAUUAAUAGGCAGCAGGUUUAAAACAAACAAAAGAAAGUAUUUUUUCACACAACGCACAGUCAACCAGUGGAACUCCUUCCCAGAGGAUGUUGUGAAGGCCAAGACUAUAACAGGGUUAAAAAAAGAACUAAAGUUCAUGGAGGAUAGAUUCAUCAAUGGCUGUUAGCCAGGAUGGACAGGGAUGGUGUCCCUAGCCUCUUUGUUCACCAGAAGCUGGGAAUGAGCGACGGGAUGGAUCACUUGAUGAUUACCUGUUCUGUUCAUUCCCUCUGGGGCACCUGGCAUUGGCCCCUCUUGGAAGCCAGGAUACUGGGCUAGAUGGACCUUUGGUCUGACCCAGUAUGGCCAUUCAUAUGUAUGUAAGGGACUGCGUGGGCAAGGGCUGUUCUAUGUGAUAUCCUAGACUUUUUUUCAGCUCUGGACAUGUUCAUUGGGAGGUAAAAACAAGAGCUCCUUAGCAUUUAGAUUUAUGCCACUUCAAUCACCAGGGACCUUACUAAAUGGGCUAUCUAUCAGUAAUUCAUACAGUGGGUAUGCAGAGGCCUCUUAAAAUCUUAUUUUUGACUUCAGCUGUCUUAGGUUGCUGAUCUAACCGUUAACUACAGUCUCUUUAGGGGUGGGGUUUUGUUCUCCCCAGCAGUCUAUCCCAGCUCAACACUGCUUUGCUUUCUUCAUCCACUUUGCCGGAGAAGACUAGUGUUCUAGUUGACAUGACUCAGGUUCUUUCUACAGUGGAAGCUGUACUGUGCAAGAUACAGGUGAGUUAAAAGCAUAGGUGUGACUUGGAAGGUUCUAGCGCUUUGAAAACCACUUUGGACCUGCUGAUAAACCCCUGGUAUUGUAGACUAACGUUUGUUAUAGGGGUUGGUCCAUAGCAUCUUUUGUUCACAACUUAUGGGGUUUUGCUUUUUUCUUACCCAGGAGAAAAAUCCACAUCUCAGCAAAAUAGACCUUCUGGCAAAGGUUUCUUCCAUGUUUUGUUUCACAUUAGAAACUGCAUUUGUCUUUAGUGGUUGUAUGCUUGCUUGGCAGAAGAAUGUUUUGACCAUUAAGUUUAAAGAAUCUAAUGACCACUUUGGAUAAAGGACUCAUUCAGUAUCCCAGCACCUUCAGUUAAAGUGAGAUCUCACAAUACACCAAAACUGACCUGCAGCAAAGUCUGGAAAGACGAGACUUGAUAUGUCCAAGAACUCCCUGAAGUUCCCACGAGACUUCCAGUGUGCUGCAGAAGACUGCCCCAGAAUCCAGGGACUUAGAUCCAGCUUGCUGCAGAGUACACCACGGCUGCUGUUGUUUACUUACAUGCAAAAU